CGCAUAAAUAGAGGAGCUGCCAAGCAUGUAUUUGGCGAGGUGUUAAGGAGAAGAACCUCCAAUACUCGCUGAAGAAGGUUUGGCUGCCGAAAGGGUGAGCUUGUUCUUGAGCUCAUCCUUGGUGGUAAACACAAAGUUUACCACUGUCAUGGGACCUCCCAUGAAGCGCUAUUUAUGCA
rnacentral:ncRNA from 2 species